rnacentral:rRNA from 1 species
CUAAUACAUGCAAGUCGAGCGGACUUGAUGAGAAGCUUGCUUCUCUGAUGGUUAGCGGCGGACGGGUGAGUAACACGUAGGCAACCUGCCCUCAAGCUUGGGACAACUACCGGAAACGGUAGCUAAUACCGAAUACUUGCUUUUUUCGCCUGAAGGAAGCUGGAAAGACGGAGCAAUCUGUCACUUGAGGAUGGGCCUGCGGCGCAUUAGCUAGUUGGUGAGGUAACGGCUCACCAAGGCGACGAUGCGUAGCCCACCUGAGAGGGUGAUCGGCCACACUGGGACUGAGACACGGCCCAGACUCCUACGGGAGGCAGCAGUAGGGAAUCUUCCGCAAUGGGCGAAAGCCUGACGGAGCAAUGCCGCGUGAGUGAUGAAGGUUUUCGGAUCGUAAAGCUCUGUUGCCAGGGAAGAACGUCCUUGAGAGUAACUGCUCAAGGAGUGACGGUACCUGAGAAGAAAGCCCCGGCUAACUACGUGCCAGCAGCCGCGGUAAUACGUAGGGGGCAAGCGUUGUCCGGAAUUAUUGGGCGUAAAGCGCGCGCAGGCGGUCAUUUAAGUCUGGUGUUUAAUCCCGGGGCUCAACCCCGGAUCGCACUGGAAACUGGAUGACUUGAGUGCAGAAGAGGAGAGUGGAAUUCCACGUGUAGCGGUGAAAUGCGUAGAGAUGUGGAGGAACACCAGUGGCGAAGGCGACUCUCUGGGCUGUAACUGACGCUGAGGCGCGAAAGCGUGGGGAGCAAACAGGAUUAGAUACCCUGGUAGUCCACGCCGUAACGAUGAAUGCUAGGUGUUAGGGGUUUCGAUACUCUUGGUGCCGAAGUUAACACAUUAAGCAUUCUGCCUGGGGAGUACGGUCGCAGACUGAAACUCAAAGGAAUUGACGGGACCCGCACAGCAGUGAGUAUGUGGUUUA